rnacentral:rRNA from 1 species
AUGAACGCUGACAGAAUGCUUAACCCCUGCAAGUCGAUGGGGAAGUGGUGCUUGCACCAUGGUAACCAUGGCGGACGGGUGAGUAACGCGUAAGGAACUUACCUGCGGGACCGGGAUAACAGCAGGAAACUGCUGACAAGACCGGAUAAGGUCAUUAAGCUGCAUAGCUUAGUGAUGAAAGGAGACGCCUGCGGAGAGCCUUGCGUCCUAUUAGCUAGUUGGAGGGGUAACGGCCCACCAAGGCGAAGAUAGGUAGCCGGCCUGAGAGGGUGGACGGCCACAAGGGGACUGAGAUACGGCCCUUACUCCUACGGGAGGCAGCAGUGGGGAAUAGUGGACAAUGGGGGCAACCCUGAUCCAGCAAUUCUGUGUGCACGAAGACGGUUUUCGGAGUGUAAAGUGCUUUCAGCAGGGAAGAAGGAAGUGACGGUACCUGCAGAAGAAGCGACGGCUAAAUACGUG